rnacentral:tRNA from 1 species
UCUGGCGUUGUUCAAUGGUUAGAGCGUCGGUCUGCUCAAACCGAAGGGCCUCAGGUUUGAUUCCUGGUCCCGGUC